rnacentral:rRNA from 1 species
AUUUUGGAUCAAUGGGGGAAACCCUGAUCCAGCCAUCCCGCGUGUGCGAUGAAGGCCUUCGGGUUGUAAAGCACUUUUGGCAGGAAAGAAACGUCGCGGGUUAAUACCCCGCGGAACUGACGGUACCUGCAGAAUAAGCACCGGCUAACUACGUGCCAGCAGCCGCGGUAAUACGUAGGGUGCAAGCGUUAAUCGGAAUUACUGGGCGUAAAGCGUGCGCAGGCGGUUCGGAAAGAAAGAUGUGAAAUCCCAGAGCUUAACUUUGGAACUGCAUUUUUAACUACCGGGCUAGAGUGUGUCAGAGGGAGGUGGAAUUCCGCGUGUAGCAGUGAAAUGCGUAGAUAUGCGGAGGAACACCGAUGGCGAAGGCAGCCUCCUGGGAUAACACUGACGCUCAUGCACGAAAGCGUGGGGAGCAAACAGGAUUAGAUACCCUGGUAGUCCACGCCCUAAACGAUGUCAACUAGCUGUUGGGGUCUUCGGACCUUGGUAGCGCCGUAACGCGUGAAGUUGACCGCCUGGGGAGUACGGUCGCAAGAUUAAAC